rnacentral:rRNA from 1 species
UAUUAUACUAAGAAGUUUUAUUAAACUUAAAUAUUAUAAGAUAAAUUCUUUAAAUUUAAAGAAUUUGGCGGUAAUUUAGUCUUUUCAGAGGAACCUGUUUUGUAAUCGAUAAACCACGUAGAAUCUUACUUAUUUAUGUUAAAUUUAUAAGCUUGUAUACCAUCAUUAUCAGAUAAUAUUUAAAGAUAAUUAUUAAAUUUUAAAUAGUAAAAUAAAUUAGAUCAAGGUGCAGCCUAUAAAUAAGUUAAAAUGGGUUACAAUUAAGUUAUAUAAUAUGAAAUAGGAUUUGAAAAAAUUUUAGGAAGGAGGAUUUGAUUGUAAUGGUAAUUAGUAUGAUAAAAAGAUAUAAGCUCUAAAUUAU